AUUGAACGCUGGCGGCAGGCCUAACACAUGCAAGUCGAGCGGAGCGGCGGACGGGUGAGUAAUGUAUAGGAACCUGCCUGGUAGUGGGGGAUAACGUCCGGAAACGGGCGCUAAUACCGCAUACUAUCAGAUGAGCCUAGGUCGGAUUAGCUAGUUGGUGGGGUAAAGGCCUACAAAGGCGACGAUCCGUAACUGGUCUGCGAGGAUGAUCAGUCACACUGGAACUGAGACACGGUCCAGACUCCUACGGGAGGCAGCAGUGGGGAAAUUUGGAAAAUGGGCGAAAGCCUGAUCCAGCCAUGCCGCGUGUGUGAAGAAGGGCUUCGGAUUGUAAAGCACUUUAAGUUGGGAGGCGUUACCUACAGAAUAAGCACCGGCUAACUUCGUGCCAGCAGCCGCGGUAAUUC
rnacentral:rRNA from 1 species